UGACAACCUGGUUGAUCCUGCCAGUAGUCAUAUGCUUGUCUCAAAGAUUAAGCCAUGCAUGUCUCAGUACAAGCCAAAUUAAGGUGAAACCGCGAAAGGCUCAUUAAAUCAGUUAUGGUUCCUUAGAUUGUACCCACACUUACUUGGAUAACUGUGGUAAUUCUAGAGCUAAUACAUGCCAACAGAACUCUGACCGGAGACGGAAGGAGUGCCUUUAUUAGAACAAAACCAAUCGGUGGCAUGGCCCCGGUCAUGUCAUCGUACAAGAUGGUGAAUCUGAAUAACGUUUGCUGAUCGCACGGUCUUGCACCGGCGACGCAUCUUUCAAAUGUCUGCCUUAUCAACUUUCGAUGGUAGGUUCUGCGCCUACCAUGGUUGUAACGGGUAACGGGGAAUCAGGGUUCGAUUCCGGAGAGGGAGCCUGAGAAACGGCUACCACAUCCAAGGAAGGCAGCAGGCGCGCAAAUUACCCACUCCCGGCACGGGGAGGUAGUGACGAAAAAUAACGAUACGGGACUCAUCCGAGGCCCCGUAAUCGGAAUGAGCACACUUUAAAUCCUUUCACGAGGAUCAAUCGGAGGGCAAGUCAGGUGCCAGCAGCCGCGGUAAUUCCUGCUCCGAUAGCGUAUAUUAAAGUUGUUGCGGUUAAAAAGCUCGUAGUCGAAUCUGUGUCCCGCACCGUCGGUUCAUCGCUUGCGGUGUUUAACUGGCGUGCCGCGGGACGUCCUGCCGGUGGAUUGGUGCACGCGCGCCCUUGGGUGAGUGUGUAUCUUUCCAACUAUUACCCAUCGCGGUGCUCUUAACUGAGUGUCGAGGUGGGCCGGCACGUUUACUUUGAACAAAUUAGAGUGCUUAAAGCAGGCUAAAAGCUCGCCUGAAUAAUGUGUGCAUGGAAUAAUGGAAUAGGACCUCGGUUCUAUUUUGUUGGCUUUCGGAACACCGAGGUAAUGAUUAAUAGGAACGGAUGGGGGCAUUCGUAUUGCGACGUUAGAGGUGAAAUUCUUGGAUCGUCGCAAGACGGACUAAAGCGAAAGCAUUUGCCAAAAACGUUUUCAUUGAUCAAGAACGAAAGUUAGAGGUUCGAAGGCGAUCAGAUACCGCCCUAGUUCUAACCAUAAAAGAUGCCAGCUAGCGAUCCGCCGACGUUCCUCCGAUGACUCGGCGGGCAGCUUCCGGGAAACCAAAGCUUUUGGGUUCCGGGGGAAGUAUGGUUGCAAAGCUGAAACUUAAAGGAAUUGACGGAAGGGCACCACCAGGAGUGGAGCCUGCGGCUUAAUUUGACUCAACACGGGAAACCUCACCAGGCCAGGACACUGGAAGGAUUGACAGAUUGAGAGCUCUUUCUUGAUUCAGUGGGUGGUGGUGCAUGGCCGUUCGUCGUUGGUGGAGCGAUUUGUCUGGUUAAUUCCGAUAACGAACGAGACUCUGUCCUACUAAAUAGGCGGAAAUACGACAUCUCAAAGGCCCGUCGGUUUGCAUGUUCUUCGGUUCGCCCCUCGGGGAGUUCUGUUGUAGUGCUUGCUGUGCGAGGUUUUUACUGUCGGCGAAUUAUAAAUUCUUCUUAGAGGCACAAACGGCGGCUAGCCGCACGAAAAUGAGCAAUAACAGGUCUGUGAUGCCCUUAGAUGUUCUGGGCCGCACGCGCGCUACACUGAAGGAAUCAGCGUGUCUUCCUAGGCCGAGAGGCCCGGGUAACCCGCUGAACCUCCUUCGUGCUAGGGAUUGGGGCUUGCAAUUGUUCCCCAUGAACGAGGAAUUCCCAGUAAGCGCGAGUCAUAAGCUCGCGUUGAUUACGUCCCUGCCCUUUGUACACACCGCCCGUCGCUACAUCCGAUUGAAUGAUUUAGUGAGGUCUUCGGACUGGUGCGCGAUGGCGUUUCGACGUUAACGAUGAUGCCGGGAAGAUGACCGAACUUGAUCAUUUASAGGAAGUAAAAGUCGUAACAAGGUUUCCGUA
rnacentral:rRNA from 1 species